rnacentral:rRNA from 2 species
GAUCUCUUGGUUCUGGCAUCGAUGAAGAACGCAGCGAAAUGCGAUAAGUAGUGUGAAUUGCAGAAUUCAGUGAAUCAUCGAAUCUUUGAACGCACAUUGCGCCCCUUGGUAUUCCAUGGGGCAUGCCUGUUCGAGCGUCAUUUGUACCCUCAAGCUU